GGUCACUUUGAGUCGGAGUAGAUGAUCCCCGCAGACUGCACAGGAAACAUUCAGGGUUAGUGGCCAGAAGGGGCUCAGGCCUCUGUUAAAAGAAUGAGACAGAGUAGAGAGAAAAAGAGAAAGCCAGGCAGCAGGAGCCCCGCAAACACCCCACCCUGCAGGAGGGGAGAAGGGGAGAGAUGGGGUUGAAGGGAGAGACAGAGAAAAGGGAGAACCAGAGGCCCAGCCAGGAGGACACAGACAGUGAGCCUGAGAGAGAGACGGCCGGCAAGAGUAAAGGAUGCAGGAACAGCCAGGCAGGGUCGGGGGCAGAGCAGGGGAGCGCGGGCCGCGGAAAGACCGAGAAAGCAGGAGACAAGGAGUUGUCCUUAAGGGCCAGAAGGAGGAACAGACAG
rnacentral:lncRNA from 1 species